rnacentral:rRNA from 1 species
UACGGGGGGAGCAAGCGUUGUUCGGAUUUACUGGGCGUAAAGGGCGCGUAGGCGGUCAGCACAAGUCAGUUGUGAAAUCUCCGGGCUUAACUCGGAAAGGUCAACUGAUACUGUGCGACUAGAGUGCGGAAGGGGCAACUGGAAUUCUCGGUGUAGCGGUGAAAUGCGUAGAUAUCGAGAGGAACACCUGCGGCGAAGGCAGCUCGCUGGGACGGUACUGACGCUGAGGCGCGAAAGCGUGGGGAGCGAACAGG